rnacentral:rRNA from 1 species
UGGCGACCGGCGCACGGGUGAGUAACGCGUAUCCAACCUGGCCCGCAGUAGGGAACAGCCCGGCGAAAGUCGGAUUAAUGCCCUAUGUCUCCCUUUGCAGGCAUCCAAUGAGGAAGAAAGAUUUAUCGCUGCGGGAUGGGGAUGCGUCUGAUUAGCUUGUCGGCGGGGUAACGGCCCACCGAGGCGACGAUCAGUAGGGGUUCUGAGAGGAAGGUCCCCCACACUGGUACUGAGACACGGACCAGACUCCUACGGGAGGCAGCAGUGAGGAAUAUUGGUCAAUGGGCGAGAGCCUGAACCAGCCAAGUAGCGUGCAGGAACCGACUGCCCUAUGGGUUGUAAAACUGCUUUUUAUGCGGGGAUAAACUUCAGCACGUGUGCUGUUUUGCAGGUACCGCAUGAAUAAGGACCGGCUAAUUCCGUGCCAGCCGCGGC